AGGUUGGUCCUAAAAUAACCUGCCCAACUGUUGUCACCCCUCCUCUCCCCGACUCCCCCCAUGCAAGAAGCAGGUCAACACACACACACACACACACACACACACACACACACACACACACACACACACAGCUGACAUGUCAGUCGGUCACCAUUUUCCACAUGGUAGCAGUCGUGUGUGUUUGGAUCGUUGGGUAGCAGAACCACGCGGUGCUUCAGGUGCAGACAGAUUUCAGACUUUUUGUCGUCACGUUUCCGUUUGAGAAACAUUUUCUGAAGCAAAGAUUUGUGAAUUUUGGAAGUUUAAAAAAAGUUGAUCUGAGAAAAGACAUCUGAACGGAGAGAGAAGGUAAGAAACAGCCAGUUUUCUUUGAUUCUGACCCACUUGUUUGGAUGGUCUAAAAUCUAUGAAUCCUAUAUUAAAUCAUCAUUUGUUCAAUUUAUGGAGACUAAAACAGAAACAUCUGCGUCCUGGAAAACUUCCUGCAGCUUAAAACCCAUGAAAACAGUAGAAACCAGCGUGCAGGCCGGUGAAAAUGUAACUGUGGUCGCUCUUCGUCCUGUCUUUCAACCUCAGCACAGACCGAAUGAGGAGAAAACUGCGUACAGUCUGUAAUUUUGUAGUAAAGUUGUAGCAGCGGAGGCCAGCUGGACCCGGCUGUCCUGCAGUGGACUCACAUCUUCAUGUUCGUCGCUGAGGUGUGACGGGUUUGCAGACGGUCAAUCAGGAAACAGCAGCAACAACCAGAUAAAGAGACAGAACUGAUGUGACGGUUCGACACCGAGACACCUGAAGUACUCACAACCUGACGGCGGGAAACAGGAUGAGAAGUGACUGACAGCUGAUUAACUCUGACGGCUUGUUUGCUCAAAGUGAGCGUCUCUAUAAACACAUUCACAACAUGUUCAUUUACCAGAAACUCAUAUUCAGAACCACACAUUCCUGUAACACACACACACACACACACACACACACACACACACACAGGCAGAGGUUUUCUUGCACUCCGGUCACGUAGCGUCAAGACAUGACCCGUCAAUCACAGAGUCCAUACAUCCAGCCGGGUUUCUAAUUGCCUGAAAUCAAUCUGAAGCAAGUCGACUCGCGCUUCGGCUCCAAUCCCAGCUCACCCUCAUCACCGCCGACAUCAAGGGCUUCAGAGCGGCCGCGUUCAAACCGCCCGCGACAGCUCGGCCUCAUCCGCAGCCAUUCGAUCUAAUAACCUUCAACUCCUCCACCGCGGCCCAUCAGCGCCGCGUGUUUUUACCUUGGAGAUCAAAUGCUGCGUGCUCCUUCUCCCCCUGGAGUAUUCAAAUUAAGCGGCUUCAAAGACGAGCGAGACCCGCAGCUGCGAUACAAAGACGCUUUACUGUAAUGUUUUUUUCAAAGUGGUGGCUUCUGCACAGAGACUCCAAACUCGGCCUUUAUCGGAGGAGGGCUGCUGCGUUCACGGCCGGUCGUUCAGAGAUGGUUUGAUACGUGAGCUGUUUAUCUGCUCGCUUCACACGUACAGUUACAACUCAGCAGCGACCUAAUGAAGCUGUAGCUGUACGUCCAAAUAUCAAAUCUGCAAAAUCUCAAAUAUAAAUCUGACUUUUUAACACAUCUGUGAAGAACACGUUGAUUUGUUGAAGAUGCUCUGCAGCUUUCAGCGACGCCAAACCUAAACUCAAGAACCAGAAACACACAAACUGAUGAUUUUAUAAGUCUUCUGUUCUAUUGUUACAUUUUUAAAUCAUUUCUGGGGUCGAAUACAGAUCGAAAGUUUGAUGUUAACAUGCUGCUGCAUCCUUCCUGUCGUGUCCCAACGUGAUAACGUCCUCAAAGUGUUAAAAAUGUGACAUUUUACAUGAGGAAAUCAUUUCAGGUGGAUCUUAUUUCCCCCAAAACUAAUUUGAAACAUUUGAAAGAAUAUAUUUUUUCUUGGAAAUGUGGAAUGAACAAAUUUAUUUUA